rnacentral:misc_RNA from 1 species
GUAGGUGAACCUGCGGAAGGAUCAUUACAACGUAUCCACGUAUCAACUCGCGAACUGUCCCCUUUAGAGUAAACAAAUUGUGGAUGAAGUUAAUGGCUGACUGAAUCUCGCUGAUGGAGUUCACGGAUUUUCAUCUGAGAACUGAGAGUCUUUGGCCGCUGGCUGAAACGCUUGCGUUUUUGCUGGGACUUCGUUUACUCUACUG